rnacentral:rRNA from 1 species
CUCCCUAGUGACCGAUAGUGAACCAGUACCGUGAGGGAAAGGUGAAAAGCACCCCGGAAGGGGAGUGAAACAGUUCCUGAAACCGUGUGCCUACAAGUAGUUAGAGCCCGUUAAUGGGUGAUAGCGUGCCUUUUGUAGAAUGAACCGGCGAGUUACGAUUUGUUGCAAGGUUAAGCGGAAAAAGCGGAGCCGUAGCGAAAGCGAGUCUGAAUAGGGCGCAUAAGUAACAGGUCGUAGACCCGAAACCAGGUGAUCUACCCAUGUCCAGGAUGAAGGUAAGGUAAUACUUACUGGAGGUCCGAACCCACGCACGUUGAAAAGUGCGGGGAUGAGGUGUGGGUAGCGGAGAAAUUCCAAUCGAACUUGGAGAUAGCUGGUUCUCUCCGAAAUAGCUUUAGGGCUAGCCUCGAGGUAAAGAGUCAUGGAGGUAGAGCACUGUUUGGACUAGGGGCCCUUCUCGGGUUACCGAAUUCAGAUAAACUCCGAAUGCCAUGUACUUAUACUCGGGAGUCAGACUGCGAGUGAUAAGAUCCGUAGUCGAAAGGGAAACAGCCCAGACCACCAGUUAAGGUCCCCAAAUAUAUGUUAAGUGGAAAAGGAUGUGGGGUUGCUUAGACAACCAGGAUGUUGGCUUAGAAGCAGCCACCAUUGAAAGAGUGCGUAAUAGCUCACUGGUCGAGUGACCCCGCGCCGAAAAUGUACCGGGGCUAAACAUAUUACCGAAACUGUGGAUGAACCUCUUUAGAGGUUCGUGGUAGGAGAGCGUUCUAAGGGCGGUGAAGUCAGACCGGAAGGACUGGUGGAGCGCUUAGAAGUGAGAAUGCCGGUAUGAGUAGCGAAAGAAGGGUGAGAAUCCCUUCCACCGAAUAUCUAAGGUUUCCUGAGGAAGGCUCGUCCGCUCAGGGUUAGUCGGGACCUAAGCCGAGGCCGAUAGGCGUAGGCGAUGGACAACAGGUAGAGAUUCCUGUACCAGUGCUAAUUGUUUAACCGAUGGGGUGACACAGAAGGAUAGGGAAUCGCACGAAUGGAAAUGUGCGUCCAAGCAGUGAGUGUGAGAAGUAGGCAAAUCCGCUUCUCGCGAAGCAUGAGCUGUGAUGGGGAAGGAAAUUAAGUACGGAAGUUCCUGAUUUCACGCUGUCAAGAAAAGCCUCUAGGAAGAGUAGUACUGCCCGUACCGCAAACCGACACAGGUAGAUGAGGAGAGAAUCCUAAGGUGAGCGAGAGAACUCUCGUUAAGGAACUCGGCAAAAUGACCCCGUAACUUCGGGAGAAGGGGUGCUCUAUUAGGGUGCAAGCCCGAGAGAGCCGCAGUGAAUAGGCCCAGGCGACUGUUUAGCAAAAACACAGGUCUCUGCAAAACCGUAAGGUGACGUAUAGGGGCUGACGCCUGCCCGGUGCUGGAAGGUUAAGAGGAGUGCUUAGCUUCGGCGAAGGUACGAAUUGAAGCCCCAGUAAACGGCGGCCGUAACUAUAACGGUCCUAAGGUAGCGAAAUUCCUUGUCGGGUAAGUUCCGACCCGCACGAAAGGCGCAACGAUCUGGGCACUGUCUCAACGAGAGACUCGGUGAAAUUAUAGUACCUGUGAAGAUGCAGGUUACCCGCGACAGGACGGAAAGACCCCGUGGAGCUUUACUGCAACCUGAUAUGGAAUGUUUGUACCGCUUGUACAGGAUAGGUAGGAGCCGAAGAGACGUGUGCGCUAGCAUACGAGGAGGCAAUGGUGGGAUACUACCCUGGCUGUAUGACCAUUCUAACCCGCCACGCUUAGCGCGUGGGGAGACAGUGUCAGGUGGGCAGUUUGACUGGGGCGGUCGCCUCCUAAAGAGUAACGGAGGCGCCCAAAGGUUCCCUCAGAAUGGAUGGAAAUCAUUCGCAGAGUGUAAAGGCACAAGGGAGCUUGACUGCGAGACUGACAAGUCGAGCAGGGACGAAAGUCGGGCUUAGUGAUCCGGUGGUUCCGCAUGGAAGGGCCAUCGCUCAACGGAUAAAAGCUACCCCGGGGAUAACAGGCUUAUCUCCCCCAAGAGUCCACAUCGACGGGGAGGUUUGGCACCUCGAUGUCGGCUCGUCGCAUCCUGGGGCUGUAGUCGGUCCCAAGGGUUGGGCUGUUCGCCCAUUAAAGCGGCACGCGAGCUGGGUUCAGAACGUCGUGAGACAGUUCGGUCCCUAUCCGUCGCGGGCGCAGGAAAUUUGAGAGGAGCUGUCCUUAGUACGAGAGGACCGGGAUGGACACACCGCUGGUGUACCAGUUGUUCCGCCAGGAGCAUCGCUGGGUAGCUAUGUGUGGCAGGGAUAAACGCUGAAAGCAUCUAAGCGUGAAGCCCCCCUCAAGAUGAGAUUUCCCAUUUCUUCGGAAAGUAAGAUCCCUGAAAGAUGAUCAGGUAGAUAGGUUUGGAGUGGAAGUGUAGCGAUACAUGGAGCGGACAAAUACUAAUCGAUCGAGGACUUAACCAA